AACGAACGCUGGCGGCAUGCCUAACACAUGCAAGUCGAACGAGACCUUCGGGUCUAGUGGCGCACGGGUGCGUAACGCGUGGGAACCUGCCCUUAGGUUCGGAAUAACUCCCCGAAAGGGGUGCUAAUACCGGAUAAUGUCUUCGGACCAAAGAUUUAUCGCCUUUGGAUGGGCCCGCGUUGGAUUAGCUCGUUGGUAGGGUAAAAGCCUACCAAGGCGACGAUCCAUAGCUGGUCUGAGAGGAUGAUCAGCCACACUGGGACUGAGACACGGCCCAGACUCCUACGGGAGGCAGCAGUGGGGAAUAUUGGACAAGGGGCGAAAGCCUGAUCCAGCAAGGCCGCGUGAGUGAUGAAGGCCUUAGGGUUGUAAAGCUCUUUUACCCGGGAUGAUAAUGACAGUACCGGGAGAAUAAGCUCCGGCUAACUCCGUG
rnacentral:rRNA from 1 species